rnacentral:rRNA from 1 species
GAUGAACGCUAGCGGCAGGCCUAACACAUGCAAGUCGAGGGAGAAGCCCUUCGGGGCAGAAACCGGCGCACGGGUGCGUAACGCGUAUGCAACCUACCUUUCACAGGGGGAUAGCCCGAGGAAAUUUGGAUUAAUACCCCAUAAUAUUAUUGGAUGGCAUCAUUUGAUAAUUAAAAUUACGAUGGUGAAAGAUGGGCAUGCGUCCUAUUAGCUAGUUGGAGUGGUAACGGCACCCCAAGGCUACGAUAGGUAGGGGUCCUGAGAGGGAGAUCCCCCACACUGGUACUGAGACAGGGACCAGACUCCUACGGGAGGCAGCAGUGAGGAAUAUUGGUCAAUGGUCGGAAGACUGAACCAGCCAUGCCGCGUGCAGGAAGAAUGCCCUUAUGGGUUGUAAAACUGCUUUUAUAUGGGAAAGAAUAAAGG